rnacentral:rRNA from 1 species
AUACGGAGGGGGCUAGCGUUGUUCGGAUUUACUGGGCGUAAAGCGCACGUAGGCGGUAUAUCAAGUUAGGCGUGAAAGCCCCGGGCUCAACCCGGGAACUGCGCUUAUUACUGAUAAACUAGAGUCCGGGAGAGGGUGGCGGAAUUCCCAGUGUAGAGGUGAAAUUCGUAGAUAUUGGGAAGAACACCAGUUGCGAAGGCGGCCACCUGGACCGGUACUGACGCUGAGGUGCGAAAGCGUGGGGAGCAAACAGGAUUAGAAACCCCUGUAGUCC